AACAACUCCAUAUUAAUGACUUCCCAGAAGAGUGGAGGCUGUUAUAGCAGCAAAGGGGGGUCCAACUCCAUAUUAAUGACUUCCCAGAAGAGUGGAGGCUCAGCAAAGGGGGGACCAACUCCAUAUUAAUGACUUCCCAGAAGAGUGGAGGCUGUUAUAGCAGCAAAGGGGGUCCAACUCCAUAUUAAUGCCUUCCCAGAAGAGUGGAGGCUGUUAUAGCAGCAAAGGGGGUCCAACUCCAUAUUAAUGCCUUCCCAGAAGAGUGGAGGCUGUUAUAGCAGCAAAGGGGGUCCAACUCCAUAUUAAUGCCUUCCCAGAAGAGUGGAGGCUGUUAUAGCAGCAAAGGGGGGACCAACUCCAUAUUAAUGCCUUCCCAGAAGAGUGGAGGUUGUUAUAGCAGCAAAGGGGGGUCCAACUCCAUAUUAAUGACUUCCCUGAAGAGUGGAGGCUGUUAUAGCAGCAAAGGGGGGUCCAACUCCAUAUUAAAGCCCAUGAUCUUGGAAUGAGAUGUUGGACGUGCAGGUGUCCACAUAUUUUUGGUCAUGUAAUGUAUCAUCAAGAAGCUUCCUAAGAAGGUAAAACACUUCUCCGGGCAGGCUGAUUAUCAGGACAGGAGACUGCAAUACACACACCUGAGGAGGAACGCACCCAAAGGGCUGGCAGGCUCUGUCCAGCCCUUAGGGGGCGUUCCAGGUGGUCUGUACUGCAAUCACACUGCCCAGUUUUAGGUGGCGAUGGAGACCUCUUGACGGGUACCCACCUGGAAGCU
ensembl:lncRNA